GAUGAACGCUGGCGGCGUGCCUAAUACAUGCAAGUCGAGCGAACAGACGAGGAGCUUGCUCCUCUGACGUUAGCGGCGGACGGGUGAGUAACACGUGGAUAACCUACCUAUAAGACUGGGAUAACUUCGGGAAACCGGAGCUAAUACCGGAUAAUAUAUUGAACCGCAUGGUUCAAUAGUGAAAGACGGUUUUGCUGUCACUUAUAGAUGGAUCCGCGCCGCAUUAGCUAGUUGGUAAGGUAACGGCUUACCAAGGCGACGAUGCGUAGCCGACCUGAGAGGGUGAUCGGCCACACUGGAACUGAGACACGGUCCAGACUCCUACGGGAGGCAGCAGUAGGGAAUCUUCCGCAAUGGGCGAAAGCCUGACGGAGCAACGCCGCGUGAGUGAUGAAGGUCUUCGGAUCGUAAAACUCUGUUAUUAGGGAAGAACAAAUGUGUAAGUAACUAUGCACGUCUUGACGGUACCUAAGCAGAAAGCCACGGCUAACUACGUG
rnacentral:rRNA from 1 species